rnacentral:rRNA from 1 species
CAGUCGCCGCGGUAAAACGAGGGGUGCAAGCGUUAUUCGGAUUGAUUGGGUGUAAAGGGUGUGCAGACGGCUUAUUAAGUCACUUGUUAAAUUCUUCGGCCUAACUGAAGGUCUGCAAGUGAUACUGAAGAGCUAGAGGGUGGAAGAGAGAAGUGGAAUUCUCGGAGUAGCGGUAAAAUGCGUAGAUCUCGAGAGGAACACCAAUGGCGAAGGCAGCUUCUUGGUCCAUUCCUGACGUUCAUACACGAAAGCGUGGGGAGCAAACAGGAUUAGAUACCCGCGUAGUCCCUGUCUCUUAUAC